AUGCCGUUCAGUCUCAGCGGGCAUCUGGUGCGGCACGUGUCCGGCGGGGGCGACGGUUCGAGGCGCUGCUGGCUGAGUGUGACACUGACACGGCGAUGCCAAGCAGGCCACGGCCGACUUGUGGCCAGGCAUGCCUGCACUGAAAAAGAGGGCUGGGAUGGAGCGGUCGUGGGCUGCAGGCCAUCCAGAGCGGGCAGCAGCGCAGCAAGAGAAAAAGGAGAAGUGACACGGUUGGCAACCACAGCUCGCUGCAAGGCGGGGACGGGAUCGACGGGGAGCAGUGAGGGCAGCAGCGACUACUUCCUGCGUCAGCUGAGCUCCAGCGACGGCAGCAGCGUGCCGGUGCCAGCGCCGCGCCAGCCGGAGGAAUGGGAGUGCGGCUGCGGCGUCGGUGGCACUGGAAGGUGCGGGUCGAGGAGGUGGUCAAGGAAGAAGGCGCGGGCGAGAGGCCACCGGCACGGUGGUGGUGACGCAUUCUGCGGGGCACCGGAGGAGGCCGCGACUGCUCCUUUCCUCUCCCCGUCGGCGCGAGUGCGCGGGUCGCUGGGUAUGAGGAGAGUGAGAGGACAGUUGCGUGAGGAGGAGAAGGUCGUGGCCGUCGGCUCCUGUCCUCUCCCCGUCGGCGCCAGCGCCUCUCCUCUCUCCGUCGGCGUCAGUGCGCGGGUCGCGGGGCGUGAGGAGGAGGAGGAGGACCAGGUGGUGGCGCACCUGCCGGAUCCGAGGCGCGCGGGCGCAGAGGCCCUGGUGGAGGACGUCGGUGCGAUCGGCGCCAGCCGCGUCCCCCUCCCGCGCUACGCCGGGGAGGAAUGCGCCUCCGCCGUUAACGCCGCCGCGCCUAGCAGGAGCGGCGCAAGGGCAUCCCGUGGACAGAGGAGGAGCACAGGCUUCUUGCUGGGUCUGGACAAGUUCGGCAAGGGCGGCGAGCGGAGCAUCCCGCUUUUCAUCAUCUCCCGGACGUCGAUGCAGGUGGCCAGCCACGCGCAGAAGUACCUCAUCUGCCUCAACUCCAUGAACCGGAACCGCCGCCGCUCCAGCAUCCAUAACAUGACCAGCAUCACAACGCCGCCUCACAGCCGCAGCGCACGGCCCCGGGCGCCCAUGGGCCACCUGGUCGCCGGCCACAUGGUCCCCGCCCCCGUCGGGACGCCGGUGAUGCUCCCGCCGGGGCCGGGGCACCCGCCCUACGUCAUGCCCGUCGUCUACCCGGCCCGCAUCAGUAGGCAUGCCAUGCUUGCUUUGUCUCUGCUCUGGUUCGUGCGCGCGGGGCACGCCGGCAUGCAUGUCAAGCGCAUGGACGAACCACACGAGUAUUUCUUCCUGUUCUUUUUUGAUUGA
rnacentral:rRNA from 1 species